rnacentral:tRNA from 1 species
GAGGCCUUAGCUUAAUUAAAGUGUCUGGGUUGCAGUCAGAAGAUGUGGUGUUCACAGGCCUUCADAA